rnacentral:ribozyme from 1 species
UUGUAUCGCAGUACUUUUUUUUUUUUUUUUUUUUUUUUUUGUUCCCUUCAACUCGCGGUAUUGUA